GAAACUAGGACCUGCAGGGGCUGAGAUUGGAGUGAAACAGAUGUGAAGAGAAAAGUCCUGGGUCCAGGUGGUCCUGGGGCCCAGCCAUGCUCUUGUUUUUUGUUUGUUUGUUUGUUUGUUUGUUUUGUUGUGUUUGUGUGUGUGUGUGUGUGUGUGUGUGUGUGUGUGUGCUUUUAAUAGAAUUUCCCUCCUCCUGCCUGUGGCUAAUUCCUUCUGCACCCUUGGUUCAGCCCCACCUGGCGACCCUUGUUCCAUCACUUCCACCACUUCUCUAGAAUCUUCAGUCAUUUCAGCGACACAUAUGCUCAUCUUCCUGCCCAAAAACUGAAUAAGCAAAGACUUUCUUUCAUCUCUGUCCCUCUUCAACUUCUGCCCUUCCCUUCUACUCACUAUCCCUAUUUUCUCACCUCCUACUUCAUGCCCAAUCUGCUGCUGCUAUCUUGCUCUAUUUCUUCUUCCCAUUUUCUUGAUGCUGCUUUCCUGACAGGCAGUGCCUUGCAGAGUACGUCCAAUUUCUCAUGUUUAUGUUGCUUGUCUGCAGCAUCUGGUAUCAGUAACCACCUCCUCUUUCUCAAAACUCCCACCAUGCUUGAUGGUUUUCCUGCGAUUCUUGACCUGAUGCAGAAAAGCUUGACCUGCAGAAGCUGUCCUAGAAACAGUCAGGAUCUAAAGUUCUAGACUUUUCCAACCUGCCUCUCAUUGCCAUAAAAAUGCAACUGACCUGUGUCUCCUCUCCUGGUGCACCACUAAGGGAUGGCUGACUGAUCUAAUGAGAUUACUGGAACUAAGGCAUUCACAGCACGAAGAGGAGAGACUCAGAAACGUAAGACCUAAGUCCUGCCCUCAAAAACCCACAGGCUCAUUGGAAAAACAGCACAGGAACACUUAAGAAAUGAAAUUCAAGCAUGAAGUAACAACGUGAGAAAUGUACCUGGCCCGUGGAUCCACUUGAAUUCUUUACCACCUGGUGUUGAGCCCUGUGAAGUGCUAUGAAAACUAGCACAGCCUCACUUGGGACUGAAAGAAAAUAAAUCACAGGCAGGAUUUUAAACGAACAUAGAAAACACAGCACAAGCAAUCCUAGCUGUCUGGGCUGCUGAAUCCUGCAACCUUCAACUAUGGCGUGGAGACAAUGGGGCAGAGGGAUGCUCGUUUCCCAGGUUGCUGAUUGUUGGGAAACGAUUCUGUGAACUUCACAUAAGCAGAUUUUGUUCAGAAUAAUAACAACAAAAAACAUUGAGAAAUGGAAGCAGAACAUGAAUAGGAAAAUAAUGGUUAGAUGACCUCACAGGAAUGCAUACCCAAUGGUAUGGCUCACGUGCAGAGAGGCGGCACUCGAUUUUGACUCUAAGUUACCUAGCAGCAUAAGCAAUGAGGAAAAUAGUUGCCAGAGCCUUCCUGUCCACAGGACAAAAACAAACCCCUCAUUCAGAAGAAGCACAGCUUUUUCAGACGCUGAAACCUUGUAUAUUUUUUUCUGGGCCAGUCUCCUCAAGAGCAUCCUGCAGUGUUACAGUCAGGAAAUUUCAUGUUUAUGUCUUUGGACUCCACGCUGGUGAUUUCAGACCCACGGCAGCAGCAGCGGCAGCAUUCCCGGAGGGAAAGGAACCCAGAGGUAUCACUGACGCCCUGCUGGACGGAGGGGCUUCUGUGGCUGCUACCAUUACUGCCGCUUCCUCAGAACCAAACCCCAGAAUCAGAGGAGGAGCAGUGGCUUCCAAAACGAAAUGCCACCCGUGUGGUGCCACUGUGGGAGAUCUUGUUCCUGACACGUAGCUUCAGCCACCCCAUGGCCCAAGUCAACCCAACACACCCCAGGACAGGAAGGAUCCGGUCACCUGGGAGAAAGCCCUGAAUGAACCAAAGAAUAACCAAGGGAAGAAACAGCCCAGGUAUCUGUGAAGGAUUUACAGUAGAUACAGUGUCCCCUGACCAGGCCGUGAGGGAUUUGAAGCUGAGAAUUACACAGUCCCUGCUCUCAAGAGCUCACACUCUGUUGAGGAGACGGAGAAGAUAUUGGGUGAUUUCCACACACUUUGUGAAGUGCUGGCACAGGGGCUGGAGGGUCAAGGAGAAAUAUAGCAAACAGAUGUGAGACAGGGCCUGGGGAAGAUGCUGUGGGAGUAACCACAGGCUAGGAUGGAAGCCCCAAGAGUUUUGGCUGGUUCCAAUACGGUGAGAUUUUGUCUAGAGACAUUGCAUCAGAAAAUGCAUCAGACACUUUUGGCUGAUGCAAUUGGGUGUGUAGGUAAGGACCAAGGCAUCUAGUGGAAAGAGGCCAGAGAUCUUGCUAAACAUCUUACAGUGCACGGGACUGCCCCCAACAACAAAGAAUUAUCCAGCUUGGAAUGUCCAAAGUUGAGAACCCCUGCCCUGGAGUCGGGAGGAGCCCCUGAAGGUUCUAGGUGGGGCAGUGAAACAGUCAAAUGUGUUUUCAGAUGUCUUGUCAAUAUUAGAGAAAUUAGGAAACUGCUGUUUCUUUCAAGUGGAAUUUGUCUAAGGGAUGGCUGUUGGAGCCAGUGAGCUGAGGGUCUGGAGGGUGAGAAUUACACCCAAAGGAGCGUGGUGCCAUGGCAAGUCCUGAACCAGGCAUCAGUAGUCCUGGCCCGACUUCAGCUCCUCCAGCCACAGGCUGGGUGACCAUGGGCAGGCAUGACAACUCCCUGAGCCUCCCUUUCAUCAUCUACAAAAUAAAGCACAAGGAUAUAUACUGUGCUGGCCUUAUUCCUGGGUUACUGUGGUAUCAAAUACAAUCGUAUUUAUGAAAGAGAGUGAAAAAAAUGUAGAUGAAGGAUAUUAUUGUACUGUAAAGAACAUCUUUUAAACAAUUACACAACAAAUAUAGGCUAAUUAUAGUGAA